rnacentral:rRNA from 1 species
UACGGAGGGUGCAAGCGUUGUUCGGAAUUACUGGGCGUAAAGCGCGCGUAGGCGGCUUUACAAGUCAGAUGUGAAAGUCCACGGCUCAACCGUGGAAGUGCAUUUGAAACUGUAAGGCUUGAGUAUUGGAGGGGGUGGUGGAAUUCCCGGUGUAGAGGUGAAAUUCGUAGAUAUCGGGAGGAAUACCGGUGGCGAAGGCGACCACCUGGCCAAAUACUGACGCUGAGGUGCGAAAGCGUGGGGAGCAAAC